GGUUCGGUAGUUCAGCUGGUUAGAACGCUAGCCUGUCACGCUAGAGGUCGUGGGUUCGAGCCCCAUCCGAAUCGCCA
rnacentral:tRNA from 1 species